UUCAACCUCUUCACACAACAUCUCAAACCUUGUUAUCUCUUCCUUUUACACAUAUUAAAUGUGACAACCUUUUUGUUAAAUCCAGAGGAAUUCUUUGUCUCCUUACCCUUUUCAAAAACUGGAGGAGCCACUCAAAUUUUCAUAGAUUCUGCACAAGUCAAAGGCUAUUAGGACCUCACUAUCAGCCAAAUAAUAUCAACACGGCAUCGAUCUGAUACAUGUUUCAGGUAUAUGUGUUUCUCAGAUUGUUCUUAAUUAGUUCUUUGCUUCUUAGCAUGCUGACCUGCAGGACCUAUAGCUACUUCAUCAAAACCUUAUUUAACACCUGUCUACGAGGCAGGCAUGUGCUUUUAUACAGAAUCUGUUUUAACAAUUAUAAUUAUCUAACUCUAAUUGCUUCAUCAAUGUUGUUGUUCUCAGUCAACAUACUGUUAUGAUGAAUAAGAGACCGAGUAAUGAUGAUUAAUUAAUUAAAAGCAUCUGGAAAACCUAGCUCGCCUUUUCAUUCAAUUCAGACAGUCAAGAAACGUGGUUUUUCUGUGAUGACAUUGCUUUGGGUGUAUAUGUUCAUUAUCCAUCUUUAAAAGAGAUAACGGAAGAUAUAUCUCAAGUCGGUAUUCAUGGGAAAAAAUAUUUAUAUAUCUCUUAUCCUUAAUUAGGGUUUUUUUUUUUUUUUAGAUUUUCAAGGUUAAGAAAACUGAUUUUCUGUCCUUCAGAACAGAUUGCACUCUGAUCAUGAGUUUUAAUUGAUUUUUUGUAACUCAGGCAAUCUGAGUAGGAACUUUUGGAUCUUGAAAAGAUGCUGAAAUUGAGAAAAUAUCAUGAACUUGGAAACAGGAUAGACUGGGAGGAAUUUCUUUCUGAUAUAUGUACUGAUUUUUCUAUCCCAUUAGCUUUAACAUGAUUCACCAAAGUAGAAGGAAAAAGUAAUUUGAUCUAAGAGAAGGGGUAUUUUUUUCUUUUGUUAAUAAAAAACAAAACAGCCCUUCUGGUUUUAUGGGGAUGAAAAAUCCCUUUUUUUUUUCCUUGUGAAAUGAAACAGAAAGAUACAACUAUAUAUUGUUUUUGUCAUCUUUCUAUGCAGUCUAGGGUUUGCUGAAAUAUAAGUUUCCCACUCUCAGGUUUUGACAAUCUUGUUGGUAAACUGUGGAUACUUAUUGAAGGAAUGAUGUAUUUCCUUUGUAAAGGGAAGAAAGAGCCUGGUCCAUGCAUUGCUUGAUUUUCA